AUGAACAACAAUAAAGACAAUAGUAACAUAAAUAACAUUAGGAAAGUUGUAAAGGAUAGAAGCACAAGUAAAAACUUUAAUAAUAAAAUAAAAGAGAAUGGUAAUAUAUAUGAAGAUAAGUACAAAAGUAAAAAAAUUAAUGAAAAUAACUAUAAAAAUAAAGCAUCAAUAAACAUUGUAGAAAACAAACGGGAGGAUAAUAAUAGUAAUAAUUAUAAUAACAGUAGUUAUAACAAUAACAGCUCUAAUGUUCAAACAAAAAAGAAAGAAGAAGUCCAUAAUAAAGUAAUUAGCGGCGAGAAUAAUAACAAUAAUAAUACUAAAAGUGAUAAAGAUGAAGAAAAGAAAAAAACAACUAGAAAAAAAAACAAUAGCAAAUCUGUUGAUGUGAACGAACAUGUAGAAAAUAGUAUUAAUAAUAUAAAUAGCACCAGCAACAAUAACAACAGCAAUAAUAACAAUAACAACAGCACUGGUAACAAUGACAAUGACGACGUAAGUUUAAAAAAAAAGGAAGAAAAAAGUAGUGACUAUAACAAUGAAAAGAAAAAAAGAGAAGAUAAUAAAAAUAACAAUAACAACAAUAACAAUAACAAUAAACAUAGCAAUUUGAAUAGUUACAAAUAUUCAACAAAUCAAUUGAAUAAACCUUUAAAAGAAAAAAAACAUAUAACAAAGGCUGAUAGAAUAGAAAAUUUACAUUAUAAUAAUAUUUAUAGUAGUAAUAGUAGUAGUUGGAAAAAUAACAACAAUGGUAAUAGUAAUUACAAUUAUAAGAAUAAUGAAAAAGUACAAAACAGUUUGGUUUAUCACAGAUCUAAAAGUAAUAAUAUGAAUAGUGACCAUAACGCAAAGAAAGAUAAACUAAACAAUUUUAAUAAUAAUAAUAAUAAUAUAAAAGAUUUAAACAGAAAAGGAAAUUAUAACAAUAAGAACAAAAAUGACAUACAAAAUGAUAAUGGUAACGAUGGUAGAAAUGAUGGUAGACAUGAUGGUAGACAUGAUGGAAGAAACGACAAUAAAAGUAAAACUUUAGAAACUAAAUACAAUAAUGGUGAUAAUAGUAGCAUUAUGGAUAGCAGUGGUAGUAUUUACAACGGUAGUAGCAUUCAUAAUAAUAGUAUGCAUAAUGGUAGCAUAAAUAGUUUUUCAAGUAAAAACAAUUAUAAAUAUGAUUAUAAAAAUAAUAAAAAUUAUAAUAUAAAACGAAAUAAAAAUUAUAAACCGUCAUCUUUUAUGAAUAAUAACUUUUAUACAAUGUAUAAUGAUUAUAUGAUGAGUGACAAUAUGUUAGAUCCUGCGAAUAAUAUGAAUAUGUAUAGUUAUAAUAAUAUAACAAAUAAUAUUAAUAGUGAUGUUAAUAACAGUAACAAUGGUAAUACUAGUAAUCAUACUGGAAAUUAUAAUAGUACUGGAAAUUAUAAUAGUACUGGAAAUUAUAAUAGUACUGGUAAUUAUAAUUUUACUAGUAAUUAUAACAAUACUGGUAGUUAUAGCAAUGAUAACAACUUUAUUGGAAAUUAUGCCAACUGUUAUCCAUAUAACUAUUAUAUUGAUGAUGCAGAUAAUAAAAAUAUGGAUUUUAGUAAUUUUUACGCAUCUAAAAUGUAUUUAACUACUACAGCAGCAGCAGCAGCAGCAACAACAACAACAGCUGCAGGCGUAGGCACAACACCAACGACAAUUAAUGGAGGAACUGGAAAUGAACAUUACACUGGUAAUGAGAUUGCAUAUGAUAUGCGUUAUAAUUAUAAUAAUAUGUUAAAUGAUUAUUAUGGGUAUAUUCCAUUAAAUUAUUAUUAUUAUAAUAUGAAUAAUAUGUACUUUGGAAAUAAUAACACAGAAGUAGCAGCAGUAGCAGCAAAUACUAGUAUUGCAACUAAUAAUAAUGUAUCUAAUGUAUGCCAUGAUAAUAAUGGCAGUACUAACAACAGUAUUGCUACUAAUAAUAGUAACAGUAAUAGCAAAAAUGGAACUAGUAAUAUUGGAAAUAAUAAUAUAAAAAAUAGAAAAAAUAAAAAAUAUUCUUUCGAUAAAAAUAAAAAAAAAAAUUAUAAUAACAUGAACAAUUCAGGUAUAUAUAACGAAUUUAAAAAUCGAUUGAUUGAUAUAUUUAAAAGAGAAAAUAUAAUGUCUGAUGGUUAUUUGUUAUAUUAUAUUUAUAACAACAUAAAGUUAAAUAUUGACAUUAUUGCUAGACACCCAUAUAUAGCUCAAUUAAUUAAUAAUAAUAGUAAUACCAGUAAUAGUAGUAAUAAUAGUAAUAAUAACAUUAACAGUAUAAAUAUAUUAACUAACGUUUUGAACGAUUUAAAAUAUAUUAAUUUGAUUGAAAAGGAUGGUACAUAUGAAAAGGAUAAAAAUAUAUCAGAGUCUACUAACGCGAGUAACAACUCGAGUAAUAACUUGAGUAACAACGCGAGCAAUAAUACGGACAACAAUACGGACAACAAUACGGACAACAAUACGGAUAACAAUAAGAGUGAUGUGAGCAAUAAUAAUAUUCCUAGCACAACAUUAACUGUUACAGAAGAUGAAGAUAACAAGUUAAAUGCCAACAAAGAACAUGGUAUGUUAAAUAAAAAAGUAACUGAUAGUACUAAAAUAAGUGCAAAUACUGAUGAUAAUAAUGAAUCUAAAAAGGAGACAACUACUAGUAGUAGUAGUAGUAGUAGUAAUAGUAAUAGUAAUAGUAAUAGCAGUAGCAGUAGUAGUAGCAGUAGUAGUAGCAGUAGCAACAAUAUUAGUGAGUUAGCAACUGUAGUUGACAAUGGUAAAGACCUACAAGUUACAAAGGAAGGUAUGACUACUGAUGUUGCUUCUAUUAUACCUGUUACAGCAACUAGUAUUACAACCAUAACAAGCACAGAUAUAGCAGAAAGCAAUAGUAACAGUAAUAGUAUUACUGACAAAAAAACAGAACAAGAGUCACAGAGUAGUAAUACUUUUGAUAUUAAAAAAAAAAAAAAAAACGGUGAAGCACAGAUGAUUGUUGAUGGUACCAGCUUAAAAAGUAUUAAUUUACAUUCAAUAAAUAAUACAGGUAAGGCAGACACAACAGAUGCAUUACUAUGUUCAGAAAACAAAAAAGACGUUAUAAAGGAAAAAUAUUGUAAUGGAAAAAAGGAUGUCACUAACAAUGAAAAAGAACAGAAUGAAAAAGAACAGAAUGAAAAAGAACAGAANNNNNNNNNNAGAAUGAAAAAGAACAGAAUGAAAAAGAACAGAAUGAAAAAGAACAGUAUGAAAAAGAACAGUAUGAAAAAAAAAGUAAAUCCACUACAAACGAAGAAGAAACAUGUAUUAAAAAUGAAAGUAAUAUUAUUAAUGAUAAACAGAAUAAUAAUAAUAAUAAUAUAA
ensembl:lncRNA